rnacentral:tRNA from 1 species
CAACUUUUCGCCCAGUGGUAGGGCAGCCGAACGACACUCGACAGACGCGGGUUCAAUCCCCGCAAAGUAU